GAUCAUGGCUCAGGAUGAACGCUAGCUACAGGCUUAACACAUGCAAGUCGAGGGGAAACGAUAUUGGAAGCUUGCUUCCGAUAGGCGUCGACCGGCGCACGGGUGAGUAACGCGUAUCCAACCUGCCCACCACUUGGGGAUAACCUUGCGAAAGUAAGACUAAUACCCAAUGAUAUCUCUAGAAGACAUCUGAAAGAGAUUAAAGAAUUUCGGUCAUCGAUGGGGAUGCGUUCCAUUAGG
rnacentral:rRNA from 1 species